rnacentral:lncRNA from 10 species
GUGGUGGUGCAAGCCUGUAAUCCCAGCUACUCGGGAGGCUGAGGCACGGGAAUCGCUUGAACUUGGGAGGUGGAGGUGUAGUGAGCCGAGAUGACGCCAAUGCGCUCCAACCUGGGUGACAGAGCAAGACUCCAUCUCAAAAAAAAAAAUAAAAAAAAAAAAUUAGCAAUUCUGGUAGCUUCCAAUGGGAAGGUCUCAAUCAUCACAGUGACACUCCAAUUUGUGUUCCAGAAAGAUCCCUCCAUCAGGGCGCUCUUCAUUCGAAUCCAUGGAUAGAGAAUUCAGGGAGUCUGUGAAUGUUGAAUGGAAAAAAAAAAUGACAUCUUUAUUUUCCCUACCCCCUAAUGGAAAGUGAGCAUUUCCUUGCCUUAUGAAUGAAUGGAAGAAAAAAAAAAACAAAAC